rnacentral:rRNA from 1 species
AUUGAACGCUGGCGGCAGGCCUAACACAUGCAAGUCGAACGAGUGGCGGACGGGUGAGUAAUGUCUGGGAAACUGCCUGAUGGAGGGGGAUAACUACUGGAAACGGUAGCUACUACCGCAUACCAUCAGAUGUGCCCAGAUGGGAUUAGCUAUUUGGUGGGGUAACGGGUCACCAAGGCGACGAUCCCUAGCUGGUCUGCGAGUAUGACCAGCCGAACUGGAACUGAGAAACGGUCCAGACUCCUACGGGAGGCAGCAGUAGGGAAUAUUGCACAAUGGGCGCAAGCCUGAUGCAGCCAUGCGGCGGGUAUGAAGAAGGCCUUCGGGUUGUAAAGUACUUUCAGCGGGGAGGCGUUACCCGCAGAAGAAGCACCGGCUAACUCCGUGCCAGCAGCCGCGGUAAUUC